GUGACAGAAGGUGGAUCGUUCUUCUUUUAAUUACGAAUCGAGAAAUUGUUCAUUAAUUGACUAGUGACGUAUCUGCGCAUGCGCGGCGCGUUUGCGUAAUCGUCUUGUCGGUGGAUAUAACGCCAUUUUGUGUUCGGUGCUUGACAGCUACGCACGGAAGCCGUAUCGUCCUCAUUAAUUUCAGGUUUCCAAGAAUUCUACGUAUCGACAGACGAAACAUCCCGGCUUUCUUUUUCUACAUAUCUUUGUCCUUCGUGCUGUAUAUAAGGUAAGUCUUUCUCCUUUAAAGAUACAAAGCGAGUUUAAUAGAAAGAGAUAGGUAGUACUCGGUAAACAAACAAUCAAAGAUCGGCGUAUUUCAAAGAAAUCUCUUGAUCGAGCGCGUAACGAAAACAAUGGAACGUUCGAGCUCGUUCAAGGUGAUAUAGUAUGCUCUAGCUUACAGAAUCUUUCGGCGUGUACGCAACCAAGGAAACGUGGAUUAAUUUCUUCCUUGCAUUUAUUUCAUUUUAGAAUAUUUUAAUUCUAAUAUUAUUUGCAUUUAUUUGAUA